rnacentral:piRNA from 1 species
UCCCUAUAAACACGAAGAACCACUCGGAU